UGGUAAACCUUCACUCUCCUCUUCUGAAA
rnacentral:piRNA from 1 species